CUUGGAGACCCGGAUUCCGGGAGCAAGUGCCUCUGCGGGGCGCAGCCACUUUGCACCCGUCGGUCCCGAUACAACCGAUAGUUAAUUGGGGCCUUCGAGUGUCUCAAGUCAAGGAGGCUGAGGAGGGGGGUUGCCCUGAGAGCCCCAGCACACACAGCCCACCAAAGUCGACACCGUCAAGGCCUUGGCGACAGCAAAGGUGGCUGCUCCCAGCAGCUUUCAGGACAACUCCUCUGAAACCCCCUCCCCCGCAGGCAAGUUCAGAAUGUUUCGAGCCCCCGCCCCUUAAUCUUAUCUAAUAUAUAUGGUUACCGUUGUUGGA